AUUGAACGCUGGCGGCAGGCCUAACACAUGCAAGUCGAGCGGAUGAAGGGAGCUUGCUCCUGGAUUCAGCGGCGGACGGGUGAGUAAUGCCUAGGAAUCUGCCUGGUAGUGGGGGAUAACGUCCGGAAACGGGCGCUAAUACCGCAUACGUCCUGAGGGAGAAAGUGGGGGAUCUUCGGACCUCACGCUAUCAGAUGAGCCUAGGUCGGAUUAGCUAGUUGGUGGGGUAAAGGCCUACCAAGGCGACGAUCCGUAACUGGUCUGAGAGGAUGAUCAGUCACACUGGAACUGAGACACGGUCCAGACUCCUACGGGAGGCAGCAGUGGGGAAUAUUGGAAGAUGGGCGAAAGCCUGAUCCAGCCAUGCCGCGUGUGUGAAGAAGGUCUUCGGAUUGUAAAGCACUUUAAGUUGGGAGGAAGGGAAGUAAGUUAAUACCUUGCUGUUUUGACGUUGCCAACAUAAUAAGCACCGGCUAACUUGGUG
rnacentral:rRNA from 1 species